rnacentral:tRNA from 1 species
GCCCCCAUAGCUCAAUGGAUAGAGCAUCAGACUUCUAAUCUGCAGGUUGCUGGUUCGAGUCCAGUUGGGGGCG